AGUUUCAGGUAGAAUGAAAUCUUUUGACGUAAUUGCAAAAAUCAAUCAAACCAUGUCGGAUGAACUUUGUUUCAGUAUGUAUCUUAAAUACCAAGCAGUUUUCGAUGAAAUUGAGCGGCCUCAGGGAUCUUUGAAUUCUGAGUGUAUCCGGUUACUUCAAUUGUGCAAAGUAAUUCUGGAAAAGAAUCAUAUAAUGACUGGUAAAGCAAUGAAGUGCCUCAAAUUGUGGACUGAACUCGGACAUCUAUCUAAUUACUGUUCGUUUUUGAUAUGCACGAUAUCGCGUCUCCAUAAUUUAAGCUCAGAAGCCAAAUCGUUUAUCGAAAAAACUCUAGCUGAAUCUAAUGUCAGUAUCACCGAAAAUAUUAAGGACAAACGGAUUUUCAGAGGAGAAUUUUACAUUCCUAGUAAAAAUUUAGAACAUCAUACCAGUAAUUUAAACGAUGAACAUAUAUCUGCGGAACACGAUUCAACAGAAGUUGGAAAUGAUUCAACAGCUGUCAAAAAAGAUCUCAAAAAGAAAGGUAGAAAGGUCAAAAGAGAAGCAAUUGAAUGUGAAGAAACAGACUUGGGCGAAGAAGUCGACGAAAGAAUGCUUUGUUUGUAAUAUAAUGGUGAUCAUAGACUUCAUUGCCUUCACCGAUUGAAAACACUCUUUCUUAUGAUGUCUUGACUUUUAUGGAGUAUGUAUGUAUGUAUUUAUGUAUUAUGGACUCGGCGGCCCGGGAUGACUCCCUUGAACAAGAUGAGUUUUGCUGUUCAGUGAUGAAUAAAAAUAAUCAAUGUACUUUUUGAAAUUGAAACGUUUUCGUCUUAA